rnacentral:misc_RNA from 1 species
UACGGAGGGUGCAAGCGUUAAUCGGAAUUACUGGGCGUAAAGCGUGCGUAGCCGGCUUUUUAAGUCGGAUGUGAAAUCUGCGCGCUUAACUUGGGAAUUGCAUUCGAUACUGGGAAGCUAGAGUAUGGGAGAGGAUGGUAGAAUUCCAGGUGUAGCGGUGAAAUGCGUAGAGAUCUGGAGGAAUACCGAUGGCGAAGGCAGCCAUCUGGACUAAUACUGACGCUGAGGUACGAAAGCAUGGGGAGCAAACAGG